rnacentral:lncRNA from 1 species
AUCUUGACAGAGGCUUUGUGAUUACAACUCAUGUUCCUACAGAACUUCAAAUAGCAGAUAUUUUCACAAAAGGGCUUCCUCCGGGUAGAUUUCAAGAUCUUGUAGGCAAGUUGGGAAUGAUUGAUAUUCAUUUACCAACUUGAGGGGGAGUGUUGUAAUAUGGGAUAAUAUCUAUAGGAUCUUCUUAAUUAGAGGAAGAUUGAUACAUAAUAUUUUAUUUUAUUUUAUUUUUCCCUAGGUUUCCUAGUUUCCCUAUUUCCCUUUUCAGGAGAACUAGAUUAUUACAAAUAGAAGGUUUGAGAAUGUAUUUUUCAUGAUUUGAGAAUAAUAAUAAGUCUCAUUU